rnacentral:rRNA from 1 species
UACGUAGGGUGCGAGCGUUAAUCGGAAUUACUGGGCGUAAAGCGUGCGCAGGCGGUUUUGUAAGGCAGAUGUGAAAGCCCCGGGCUCAACCUGGGAAUGGCAUUUGGGACUGCAAGGCUGGAGUGUGGCAGAGGAGACUGGAAUUCCUGGUGUAGCAGUGAAAUGCGUAGAUAUCAGGAGGAAUACCGAUGGCGAAGGCAGGUCUCUGGGCUAUAACUGACGCUCAUGCACGAAAGCGUGGGGAGCAAACAGG